CCCAGGCUCUGAUGCCACCGUCACCACGGCAACACGGCCAUACUGGCCCCAACGGACUGAGGGGCCUGGGGCUGCAGGGCUGGGCCGCGCUGGCCUCGUGGGCAGAGCCGGCAGCAUGGACAGCCUCUUCGUGGAGGAGGUGGCCGCCUCCCUGGUGAGGGAGUUCCUCAGCAGAAAGGGCUUAAAGAAGACGUGUGUGAUCAUGGACCAGGAACGCCCACGUUCUGAUCUCAGCAUAAACAGCAGAAAUGAUCUUCGCAAGGUUUUGCAUCUGGAAUUUCUCUACAAGGAAAACAAGGCAAAGGAAAAUCCUCUAAAAACAAACCUUGAACUCAUUACCAGAUAUUUUCUGGAUCACUGUGGAAACACUGCUAACAAUUUCACUCAAGAAACACCGAUCCCUGUGCUCUCAGUUCCAAAGAAAAAUAACAAGUUGCCCCUGAGAUGCUCAGAGACCACACUUGUCAACAUAUAUGACCUUUCAGAUGAAGACGCAGGGUGGAGAACAUCACUGUCAGGAACAGGCAAAGUCAGACAUGACAAUCUUGAUGGGGAUGUACUUGGUAAUUUUGUAUCCUCCAAAAGGCCCCCACACAAAAGUAAGCCCAUGAAGACUGUCCCAGGUGAAAGCCCUCCCUUGGCUCCUACGUGGGAGAAGAUGGAAAAUCUUAAAUCAUUGGAGUCUUCUGUGGACAUGAGGAAGAUGGGAGAGAAGACCAGGCCAAAGUCUGGCCUGAUUGUCCGAGGCAUGAUGGCUGGGCCCAUGGCCAGUUCUCCACAGGAUUCUCUCCGCAAACGCUCCCUGAGGCGGUCCCCGGCCUUGAGCAGCAUGACCCAGCCCCAAGAGGAAGAGAGUCGGAAGGUGCCGGAGCUCUCCACUCACUCCUCUUCCUGUCCAGCGCCGCAGGAGAUCUCGAGCACCAGCUCCAUUUCCAGGAGCCCCCUGGGUCAGCUGAGCGAAGUGACCAUAGACAAGCAGAAAACCACUCCCAGCAGCCCGCCCCGCCUGCCAAGCAAAGGGCUGCCCCAGCGGGAGAGGGGCAGGGUGAGAGACAUUUUUGAGGGCAGCCCAGCAGUGGACGGCAGCACAGAGGCGGACAGGACACCCCUGAAGCUCUACUUGCCUGGUGGGAAUUCCAGGACAACCCAGGAGAGGCUGGAAAGAGCAUUCAAAAGGCAGGGCAACCAGCCCCCGCCCCUCAGGAAAAAUCACUUGCCGGUGUCUGACAAGGCAGAUGAUGAACUGGGUGUCCUGCAGCUUGAGGAUGUGGAGGAUGAAGUGAUAAGGGAAGAAGUCAUCCUGCCCCCAGCACCAUCAAUGCUCAAGCUGCAAAUAGUGUCAAAGCCAAUCGACCUUUCAGUAGCGAAGGAAAUAAAGUCCCUUCUGUUUGGUUCAACCUUUUGCUGUUUCAAUGAAGAAUGGAAACUCCAGAGUUUUUCCUUUAAUGACACAGCUUCGUUAAAAUAUGGCAUUGUGCAGAACAAGGGUGGUCCCUGUGGGGUUCUGGCAGCGGUCCAAGGCUGUGUCCUACAAAAGCUGCUGUUUGAAGGAGAUAGCAGAGCCGAUUCUGCUCGGCAGCUGCAGCCUUCAAACACCCACAGGACCCACUGCCUGACCAUGGCUAUUGCGGACAUUCUGUGGCGGGCUGGGGGCCAAGAGAGAGCCGUGGUCACACUGGCUUCGGGAACACAGCAGUUCAGUCCAACGGGGAAAUACAAAGCAGAUGGAGUCUUAGAAACACUCAUGCUCUACAGCCUGACCUGCUACGAGGAGCUUGUGACAUUUCUUCAGCAAAGCAUUCAUCAGUUUGAGGCAGGUCCUUAUGGAUGCAUCCUGCUCACCCUGUCUGCCAUCCUGUCCAGGUCCACGGAGCUAGUUCGCCAGGACUUCGACGUCCCCACCAACCAUCUGAUUGGAGCAUAUGGAUACUGCACACAGGAACUUGUCAAUCUGCUCCUGACCGGGAAAGCUGUGUCCAAUGUUUUCAACGACGUGGUUGAGCUGGAUUCUGGGAAUGGGAACAUCACGCUUCUCAAAGGCAUUGGUGCACGCAGUGAUGUGGGCUUCUUAUCUCUCUUUGAGCACUAUAAUGUGUGCCAGGUUGGCUGCUUCCUGAAGACCCCGAGGUUCCCCAUCUGGGUGGUGUGCAGCGAGAGCCACUUCAGUGUCCUUUUUGGCCUGCAGCUGGAGCUGCUUCGGAACUGGAGGACUGAGCGGCUCUUUGACCUGUACUACUACGACGGGCUGGCCAACCAGCAGGACCAGAUCCGGCUGACCAUUGAUACUACACAGACUGUCCCUGAAGACAGAGACAAUGACCUUGUUCCACCCCUCGAGCUUUGCAUCAGGACCAAUGUUAACUGCUUGCACCAUGCAGGAACUUCCCACCCAGCAGAGCCCUUCCUUUCACAGACCAAGAAACCGAGGUCUCCAGAGUGGAGGCUGGUGCCCCAGGCCACAUCUUGAGUCACGAACCAGGCAGGGACUGAGUGGAGGCCCUCGCUAUCUCACCCAGUGGAAGGUCACCGAGCGGGCACUGUGACUUCCUGCCGCCUGGCCUCGUUGCCACGGUGAUGUUGCACAAGAUCAGACUGCUGGUGUUGCCUUCGGAGAAGAGCAUCCUAAUGUGAACCAUGCUUGGAUCCCCAUGCCACCUCUGCUCACGGUGUGACGCAUGUCUCGGCCUCAGAGAGUCUCCCCUUACCUUUGCUUGUGUCAGGAAUGCAGCGUCUGUCCCCUGCCUGCCCUCCCUGCGAUUCCCUCAGCAUCUCAGCAAAAACACACUCAUUUAUGGACAUUUCCAAACAAGACACUCAGUAACCUCUCUCAAGCUUCCAACCUCACUGGAGUGAGAAAGAAUGAGACAGUUGUCAACAGUCCAGAGAAAAGAGGAAAGAACUCAUAACCGGGCCCUGGGGCUGGGGCACAGAUGUUUCUGUUUGGAGGUGCAGAUGAGAGAUUGAAAAUAUAAUUCCAGCUGGGACCGGGGCCGGCCGAGGGGCUGGAGCUGAGCACCCACUUCCCUCCGAGAUACCCCCUGCCUGAGGGGUUGUUCCGGUUUUGUGCCUCUGCUGACACCCAGGAGUCCUGUUCACUUCUCCGCUCCUCCACCAAGGGAGGGUUCCAUGGGUGCUCCAACCACACCAACCAUCCAUGCCAACCGCCCCUCUUCUGACGCCUGCCCUCAGCCCUUACAACACACCUGCCUGGUCUUUCUUUGACUUGGUUGGGUCCCCAGGACGCUGACGCUGUGGUGCAGGGAAAGAGCCUGGGACAGAAGUUUAGAGGUCUCGGCUGAAUCCUGGCUCUGCUGCUGCACGUUGACUGACCCUCAGAAAGUCUGCCUUGCUCUGGGCCUCAGUUCCUACAUCUGUCAGUUGAGUAUAAUGAUCCCUUUCCUGAGCUGGUGUGAGGUUCUGAGAAGAAAUGCUGAAGCAUUCCCUUCCCUUUGGAAGCUGUAAGGGGCUCUACUAGACAUGUACGGGGUGGAAGGGGGCAUGGGUGAACUGGAAUGGCUCAGAACCCAUCCUGUGACCCUUAGAUGUGGGUCAGCCCCAUGGCUACCAUUGCUCAUCUUUGGGGGUGAGAGCUGAACCCCAGGCCUCAGGGACACAUCUCUGAGAAGAGUGUCACCCCCACCUGGAUCAGAACUGCGGCAGAGAAUCUGGAGCUUCUUGCCCUUCUGUGAAGGGCCGCUCAGGACUGGAAGAGGGCCCAGGACGUUGCUGUGGGCGGCCCCCUCCACUGGGCUGUCACUGCCAAAGAAUUGGAAGGAGUGGCUAGGGGCUUUGCUGCCUUUUGUUUGUAUCCCUCCCUUGCUCCUCACUGGGCCAUCCCCUCACCAAGGCCUCUGAUGCGUUCUGUCCUGGGGACCCUGGGCCCUUGUUAUCUUAGUUGUUGGUUUUCUAUAAAACAGGAGUCAAACUCAUGCCAAGUACUGAGACUC